rnacentral:lncRNA from 1 species
AUACCCACAAAAUUGGACCGAUGCUACAUUACACAUUUAUCUUUUGAAGAACAUACCUUGUCACCUGUAUCUGAAUCUCAGACUCUUAUUUAUUCGAAAAUUAUUUAUUUCUUAAAGUUACUUAAGUUGCACACAAUAUAAGACUAACUCCCUCCUUCAGGCUAACAUUAGCUCUACAGAACAUGGCUCUUCAAGAUUCACAGAAAUAAUGAAAUGACGAUGAUGUAAAGUUUGCUGUCAAGUCCUAACUUAACUCUGUAACUUAGUAGUACGUACCACCAACACACAAAACAGUUCUUGUGAUUGAGUGAAAACAAGCAGAAAACCAUAUAGAGGCCAUAAAAUGAUUACAGAGAUGCAGUGAGAAAGCUGAUCAAAAGUCAGUCAAAAACCUGCUUUCUCAGCUGGUUCCCAAAUAAGUGGCUAUCUAUGACACCCUAUCACAAUGAUCUUGCCUAAAAGCUAUAUAAGCAAUGUCUUGUCUUUUGAGAUUAUUUGGCUAAGCCAUAUUCAUAACUGUCUCCAGUCUAAUGAUGAACAAGAGAGGAGAUCUAAAUCCCAGCCAUCCCAUCCCUGUCACCUCUUAUUCAAGUGAGCAAGUGUUGCAGACAACAACAUUCACAAUAAUUAACACCAACAGUAAAAUACAUAAGCAUGCCUGCAUUGAAUCAGAAAGACUAGCAGUUGCAAAGUUGUGAUGUCGUAAUUUCUGGAACUAAUUAACAUGACCUACUCAAGCAUAACAAGUGAAAGUGUUCAGGGAUUGUUAAACCCCUAAUCAUGAAAUGACUCAAAGGAGGAAAUUGAUGACAGUUUGAACCAAUGCAGAAUCUACUAUUUGAGCUUAUAUUUCUAGAAUAAUUUCAACCAUUACAUAACACUGGAUCCAACUUACCAUAGUACUGUUAUCAGAGGGCCGAAUCUUCUGACUGGCAUGUCAAAUUUUGUCAACAGCUGCGCUUCACUUCAACAUGAUCAAAUACACGAGAGACAAACAUAUGGGAUCCUAUCACACCUUUUUAAAAAAUAGGCUUUAAUCUAAUUCACUCACAUAUAUUGGCUUUGUAAACAGCCAUAAACAUUAGACUCAACCUUCUCAAAGAAUCAAUUAUCUAUGACACACUCAGAAUUGUGAUACAACAUAAACCUGAUAAAAGAAAAUCAGUUUCUGAAUAUAGCCAAAAUACUUAAACUAGAAUACUACUUUCCUAGGAUAAGAGACAAAGGAUCAAACAAAUAAUGCCAACAAUUAUUAGCACCUACCUUUGUGCUUCAAUGAGCCAACAACAAUUAUCCUUGAGCCACAUUUGGACGUCGUCUUUGAGUGAAUGACUGACCCUCCUCUUGCUAACCCCAUUCUUGUCCUAAAAAUUUCCUCCCACCAUAUUAUCCUUGUCCUGCACAUCCACUGAUAAUUUUCUUUUUCUUUUUUUUUCGAUAAGUGAAGAACUGAAGAUCUUAUUAGUUAAAGCGAAUGAGUAAUAAUAGGAAAAAAAGCAAAAGUACAACAGUAAAUCAUGAACCCCAUUCAUGACAUACAAUCCCAGUUCAUGCCAUAAUUUUCACCAAAAGUAUAGUUACCCAUGAGACCAUAAGUUCUUCGGAUCUGCACUUCCUAGGAGAACCUGUCAUGCCAUAAUUUUCACCAAUCUAUGGCAGAUAACAACUGUCACCAAAUUAAGAAACACUUCAAAACUCAGAAACAUAUUGAUAGAGGAGUGGAAGACGAGGUGAAGCGAUACAAAGGCCUUGGAGAUGAUGGUGACGAUAAUGAAAGAAAUCAAAUGAAGAAAUGGGGGAGUAUAAACAUGAAGGUGGAGAGUGACAUGAACAUCAUUAUGAAGUUGAAUCGUCUGAUAAGACGAGCAACUUUAAAUGACGGUGACUGUUUCAACUUUCAAUGGAGGGUAGUAAAACCAUGACACAGACCUCAAUGGAGAGGAGCCUACGCAGAAGCAUUAGAGGAAACAGGGGUUCUAACAAUGGAACCUUGCUCAUAAUCUUAUCUAGACUCCUCUUCCCCGAGGGUCGUGCCUUAAAAGUUGAAACUGGUGCAAUCCAUCAGAACUAUGUCCACCAUUGUCAUUCAUAUUCCUUCUUCACUUAAACUUCUUUUUCUUAACUUUUGGGCCAAAGAAAACUCAGGAUAUAAAGCGGGAAAGUACAUAGCCACAAGGGUUAUGACUGAAGAAAGACCUUGACCAAGAAAGAAACUUAAAAAAGAGAGAAAAUCAAAAUAAUUUAGCAUCAAGUAUCAGAUCCUCAAAAUGAAGACCUUUCUUUCCUAUGUGCCUAUAAGUCCAAUACCAAAUACUUGCUUUAACAUGUAAGCCCUUAUCAUCACAUUCUACUCCAUAUCAAGUAUUAAUUCCAGUGCAAUUUACCACAGGUGUAUGGCCUCAAUUAAUACUGUAAUCACACCACCAAUCUAAGGAAAAGUUUCCCAGUCCCAGUUAUCUCCUCAACGUCUUCAAACCACAGACUGAUCAACAACUGAGAGCUUGUCUUUUGGAUUCAAAUAUAGAUGCUUUCUCUUUCCCUACCCAGACCCAAUAACUAGCCAGCAAGUUAAACCAUGAUAUUCCAAAUUCAGCCCUUAAUCUAUAUUGUCACCUACUAACCCCCUUGCAAGACAAUCGUCCUGAGUCUGAUCAAUAAGGAUCCCCAUUCCUCUUGUUCACCAGUGAUCCCAAUAUCCCAUCAACUUUUCAAGAAACUCCAACCAAGAGGCAAGAGGAACAACUAUUGCACUUACCCAAUUGAGAACAUUCACAUCACUUGUACACCUUCUCAGACUAGCAACAAAGACCUUCCUAUCACAUACAGUUGCUGUUAUAUUGCUACAACGCUACAACACACACCCAAUAGAGCUUUGCACAUAAGACUCUUCACCUGAAAUUCCCACUAAAUUACCCUCUCAGACUAGCAACUAAGUCUAUUCUAUCACAAACAGUUGCUAGUAUAUUGCUAAAACACUCUCCUAAUAGAAGUCGGCACAAAGACUCAUUACCUAAAAUUCCCCCUACCUUACUUUAUUCUCUCCGGAAAUCCCCAAUUCCUGCUCAACUUACCCCAAAGUGGCCACCUUCGAUGGAAGAUUCAAAACCGAGUCAGGUAUAAGGUUAUCUUUUUGGAUUACAAUUUACAAAAGACAUCAUCCUCCACGUGGUCAGUAGGGCUGGCAAUGGUACGGGUUAGACCCGAAACCCGGUCCGAUCCGUACCGAUAAGAACGGGUUUGGUAUUGCAUUUUUAUGUAUUGGUACGGGUCUGGUUCUUAAAAUUAGGACCCGAUUGUUAUCGGAUCGGGUUUGGAAUUAGUAGAUACCGAACCGAUAUGGACCCGAUAUAAAUUAUUUUGAGGUUUUAAAUAUUUUAGAUUCACUACCAUUAUUAACAUAUUAAUUACCUUAUAAGUAUAUGCAAUUACAUUAAAAACAUAGAAAUAAAUAAAAUCAUAUACUAUAUUUGUAUACUUGAUUAUAUAUAUUUACUAAAUAUAUCUAGAUUCUUAAAAAGUAACUCAUUUUUUCUAAAUUUGUAUACAUAAUUUUGACAUAUCAAUUUAUGGUCAAAAUACCCGAAUCCAACCCGGAUCCGAUCCAAUAAGAUUUGGUACAGGUAUGGUUCAUUACUUUCGGACCCGAUAGGGUCUGGUUCCGGGUCCGAGAUUAUUAGUUUUCUUAUUGGUUCGGGUAUGGUAUUUCUAAUAUCCGGUCCGAACCGGUCCAUUGCCAGCCCUAGUGGUCAGAAAACUGGAAGUAUCAUCACUUUCAAGGCAGCAUAUUUUUGUGGAAGCCCUAGCCAUAAUUGUUUCGAUACAUCGAUUUACUUUUCACAAAACUGCUUUCACGCAAGGACCGUCCAUGGAUAAGAUUUAGAAAGAAUCAAAGACCAUCGACUGUACUCAUCCUCAUAACGUGAAAAUUGCUUUCAUGCAAGGACCGUCCAUGGAUAAGAUUUAGAAAGAAUCAAAGACCAUCGACUGUACUCAUCCUCAUAACGUGUAUUUUGUUUAACAAUAAAGGUUGCAUGAAAGACAUCAACAAGUGAAACUUGUGGGAUCAAGAAGUUUUCUUAUAGUUGCACGAGCAAGGUUGGAUACAGUUGCCCAAGCAUUAGUACCUCCGGUUUCACAGAGGACAUGGUAAGCAUAUCUUAUCAGGCAAGACAUUGCAAUUACAGUACUAUAGUUAGAAGCUUUGGGGUUUCUAGCUUAGAUAUCUAUAUAAUUUGAAUAAAUUUCAGAAACAUAAUCCUAAUUAGGGUUCAAGUAAAAGUAGAGGAUCACCCCCCAGUGCAUUUGUGCGAAGAAAUACUAAUUCUAUAUCAUUAAAACAGAAAUCUCCACAUAGCAACAUCAAUAGAAGUUGUAAAAUUCCAAUAGUUAAACUAAUUUGGUAUCUCUAAAUUCUAAGUCAUAAUAAUACAUUGUAUCACAAAACAUAAUCCAAAACCCUAGAAGAACGAUUUCAAAAAAUAUAAAAGAUCAAUUCAAUUAAGUUCAGUCUAAUCCAGUCUUACCGAACUCAAGCAUCAUCCUCAUCCUCAUUGUUGUCGCUAUCAUCGUCGUCAUCAUCAUCAUCAUCCAAAUCGUU